GUAUGAACACUUUUAAGGAUGCCUGAAAGACUCCAUUGGUGCUGUAUUGUCACACACGUUUGUCUUCCAAGAGAGCAACAGGGCGGACAGCAGGAUGAACGGAGAAUGUGUGUAAAGGUAUUUAGGAAAGAUAAGUCUGAAAACCAUACAGUUAAGCUACUGAAGUUGCUGUUUACUAUCUUGAUUAAUAGUGUUACAAUUUACACAUUGUCCACAGACUGAGCACCACAAAGGUUUAUAUUACUGACAGCACAUUAAGAGAAAACCCAAGCAGCUGGGAAACGGAAGGCCAUGCUGCAGUUUCUUGGACACGUGGCAGGUGGACGUGUACCUCUUGGAGAGGACCUUCUGUAAGGCAGAAAUGUCAAGCAACUUUAUUAAGUUCAUCCAGCAAGAAUAAUCAGACGAGAACAUGUGACCUGGUGACUCUAAGAAGAGAUGGCAAGUGAGAAGCACAGUGACCCUUGAGCAACACAGUUAAAAAUAAAAUCAGCUGUGAAGAAAGAAAACAACAGAAGCCACUGAAGAACACGCUGGAGAGCCUGGCAAACCAAUGCUGUUUGUAAAGGACAUUUAAGGCAGCUACCGCCAUCUAGUGAGUCAGCCAUGUAGUCAUUACAGGACUUGACUACUCUGAAACCCAUGUUCCUGUUUCAUUAUUUUCAGAACUAUUCAAGUCACUUUUCAUUAGGGCUGAAGGGAAUAUAUG